rnacentral:rRNA from 1 species
GACGAACGCUGGCGGCGUGCUUAACACAUGCAAGUCGAACGAAGAGCGAUGGAAGCUUGCUUCUAUCAAUCUUAGUGGCGAACGGGUGAGUAACGCGUAAUCAACCUGCCCUUCAGAGGGGGACAACAGUUGGAAACGACUGCUAAUACCGCAUACGAUCUAAUCUCGGCAUCGAGGAUAGAUGAAAGGUGGCCUCUACAUGUAAGCUAUCACUGAAGGAGGGGAUUGCGUCUGAUUAGCUAGUUGGAGGGGUAACGGCCCACCAAGGCGAUGAUCAGUAGCCGGUCUGAGAGGAUGAACGGCCACAUUGGGACUGAGACACGGCCCAGACUCCUACGGGAGGCAGCAGUGGGGAAUCUUCCGCAAUGGACGAAAGUCUGACGGAGCAACGCCGCGUGAGUGAUGACGGCCUUCGGGUUGUAAAGCUCUGUUAAUCGGGACGAAAGGCCUUCUUGCGAAUAGUUAGAAGGAUUGACGGUACCGGAAUAGAAAGCCACGGCUAACUACGUGCCAGCCGCCGCCGUAACAC